ACACUGAUGGUGAAGUGGUUAUCAUGCUUGCCUUCCAAUACGUUCUUCGCUCCGUGUCUAGUAGCAAGCGGCAGGGGUUCGAUUCCCCUUCAGUGUA